ensembl:lincRNA A330102I10Rik RIKEN cDNA A330102I10 gene
AGGGAGGAACCGGAGGUAUGAAUGACAACUGUUUGAGAAGAAGGUCCCAAAUCCCUCUCUUAAAACCUUGGGAUUGUGCUUGAGACUCAGCCCCGAUGUGUUCCGUGGUGAGUCACUCACCUGGUUUACCCACACUGUAUGCUCCCCCUACCUGCCCCUACCUUGUCAUAAGUGCUGAGGAUUGAACCCAUGGCCUCGUUGCAUGUCAGGUGCUGGGAACAUUAAAUCUUCAUGUCUGGAGGACAAGAAAACUAAAAGUGUUUGAAGGCAGCAAUGUGCCCAGUGUUCAUUUUCCCAAUGUUGACGGUUGUGCUGUGGUUUUACUGAAGAAUGCCCCUUGAAGGGAUGCUGUGUAACCAACCAGCCACCUCGUGCUUCUGCCACUGUUGCUUCCCCACUGUGAUAGACUGUGCACACUCAAACUGCAAGCCAAAAUAAACCCCACCCUCCUUAGUUGCUUUUCCCAGGAAUUUUGUCACAGCAGUGCUAACAUAAGCCAAGCUUGGGGUUAGGGUCAUUAACCCUAAGAGGGAAAAAAAUGUCUGUUCAAAGAAAGAGUUAUAAACAAAUAAUAGACAUUAAUAGAGUGGCUUUAAGGUAAUUUGUGUCUGUAAAGAAUAAUUCUUUCCUAAAUCUCUGCCUUAGCUUCCCUGUAUACUACCUGUAUAUGCAUGAGUACUCAGAGUUCGUUUUGAUUGGGCAAUCCUUUACAGAAAGAGAUUAUGAAUUCAGUUUGA